GAGAAGAGAAACUAUGGAAAAAUUUUUCCAAGAGGGAGAAAGAAGAGAGAACCAAGAGGAAAAGCUAGGACAAAGUUCAAGCUUUAUACAACCUCAAAGAAGGGCCACGGUUUGGAAGAGGAAAAAGAGCCAAGUAAAGGGCCUUCACUAGCCAAGAGCAAGGGCAAAGAGGUGGCCAAGAAGAAA